GACGAACGCUGGCGGCGUGCUUAACACAUGCAAGUCGAACGAAGAGCGACGGAAGCUUGCUUCUAUCAUUCUUAGUGGCGAACGGGUGAGUAACGCGUAAUCAACCUGCCCUUCAGAGGGGGACAACAGUUGGAAACGACUGCUAAUACCGCAUACGAUCUAAUCUCGGCAUCGAGGAUAGAUGAAAGGUGGCCUCUACAUGUAAGCUAUCACUGAAGGAGGGGAUUGCGUCUGAUUAGCUAGUUGGAGGGGUAACGGCCCACCAAGGCGAUGAUCAGUAGCCGGUCUGAGAGGAUGAACGGCCACAUUGGGACUGAGACACGGCCCAGACUCCUACGGGAGGCAGCAGUGGGGAAUCUUCCGCAAUGGACGAAAGUCUGACGGAGCAACGCCGCGUGAGUGAUGACGGCCUUCGGGUUGUAAAGCUCUGUUAAUCGGGACGAA
rnacentral:rRNA from 1 species